AUUGAACGCUGGCGGCAGGCCUAACACAUGCAAGUCGAGCGGAUGACGGGAGCUUGCUCCUUGAUUCAGCGGCGGACGGGUGAGUAAUGCCUAGGAAUCUGCCUGGUAGUGGGGGACAACGUUUCGAAAGGAACGCUAAUACCGCAUACGUCCUACGGGAGAGAGCAGUGGACCUUCGGGCCUUGCGCUAUCAGAUGAGCCUAGGUCGGAUUAGCUAGUAGGUGAGGUAAUGGCACACCUAGGCGCCGAUCCGUAACUGGUCUGAGGAGGAUGACAGCUACACUAGCACGAUGACACGAUCCAGACGCCUAAGGGAGGCAGCAGUGGGGAAUAUUGGACAAUGGGCGAAAGCCUGAUCCAGCCACGCCGCGUGUGCGAAGACGGUCUUCGGAUUGUAAAGCACUUCAAGUUGGGAUGAAGUGCAGUAAGCGAAUACCUUGCUGUUUUGACGUUACCGACAGAAUAAGCACCGGCUAACUCUGUGCCAGCCGCCGCGGUAAAAC
rnacentral:rRNA from 1 species